ACGGAAGGCAGCAGUAGGGAAUAUUGCACAAUGGGGGAAACCCUGAUGCAGCAACGCCACGUGUGGGAAGAAGCAUUUCGGUGUGUAAACCACUGUCGUGAGGGAAUAAUGCUUGGUUUCGGCCAAGUUGAAUGUACCUCGAAAGGAAGCACCGGCAAACUUCGUGCCAGCAGCCGCGGUAAUACGAGGGGUGCAAGCGUUGUUCGGAAUCACUGGGCGUAAAGGGAGCGCAGGCGGAGAUGCAAGCGGACUGUACAAUACCGGGGCCCAACCCCGGACCUGCAGUCCGGACUGCACCUCUUGGAUAGUUCAGGGGCAAGCGGAAUUCCUGGUGUAGCGGUGGAAUGCGUAGAGAUCAGGAAGAACACCGAUGGCGAAGGCAGCCUGCUGGGGACUCAUCGACGCUGAGGCUCGAAAGUGCGGGUAGCAAACAGGAUUAGAUACCCUGGUA
rnacentral:rRNA from 1 species